CUAACGGGGAUACUCCCUGGGAAGUCACUUUCUUUGGGCUCUGUCCAAGUGACCUAAGGGAGCAUAGUCUCUGCCCUGUGAUGUACAGUCCCUUAGCACAAUGCUGGAGAAGAAUCUGGGCCUCGAGUCAAGACCUGCAUAUCUCUACAACUUGUUGGAGUCUUGUGAACAAUGACUAAGGAGACCAACUGCACAGGAAAAGAAA
ensembl:snoRNA SNORA73 Small nucleolar RNA SNORA73 family